rnacentral:lncRNA from 1 species
CUGGUUUGAGGCAAGGGAAACCCCAAAUCCAUCAGUCAGUGAGCCCAUAGACCCAAUAGAAAGGAGAUACUAAAGAGACUUUACACUCCUGAAGCCCACUGAAGCAACACCAGCCCAAACCCAUUCUUGCCCAGAGGUAACUGGUUAGCUGGCUCAGUCACAGUUCCUGUUUUUCUUUCCAUGCAACUGCCGGUGAUUCCGGACUGUGGUGUGUUGUUUCCCGCCUGGCUGACAGCGUGCUGCUCUGAGGCUCCUCUGAGUUGACUCAACUCUCUGGUCCAGUCCACAGUCUUAGAGCUCGGCAGAGGAGCUUAGGGAGAGACACAGACACGUCACUCUGAACAUAGAGGAACUUACAGGGCAACGGAGAGCACCCCAUCCUUCAUAUAGGUCUACUACUGCUUUCCCCCAACUCUCUCUCCAGCUCACCCAGCACAGGGAGCUCCAUAGGCCCAUCCAUUGUUCAGCUGGUGGAGAGAGAGGGAGAGGGCGAGGUAGGGAGGACGGUGUAUUUUGGGCAACCAUUCACAUGCAGGAAGUGUGGCCUCAGUCCCAGUGUCAGAUGCACUUUCCUUGCCUCUCUGGUUUUCUGGCUCUGUAUUCCACAUUCUGUCCUUCUCUGCCUGACUGUACGCCCAGCGACCUGCUCCAGUUGUCAGCCCUACCGACCGGACAGGGAGACAGGAUGGACUGCCUGGCCAGUGGCUACCGCAGGUCCCGAAGGCUGCGCCACCGCAUCUCCUCGGCUCUAAGCAGCAGCCCCAGUGAACGCGGCAGCGGCCCCCGCAGUGCGAGAGUCAGUCAGACAGGUCUGUGUGGGAAGAGUCCCAGUGAGAAGAGCAGGAGGGGUGUCAAUGGAAGAGGCUUGGCCAGCAGGCCCUCACUGCAGCCCAAACCACAAGUGCCUCCGAAGCCAGUGCACCUCCAGAGCCAGGUGACGGUGCCUGCUGGCCCCCUGCUGGCGCUGGGGCGCGUGGAGAGAGGACUCUUCAGAGCCACCAUGGAGGAGGGAGGAGGAGGGGCGGUGACUGGGAAGAGGCGGGAGAAACCCUCCAAAGUCUUGGACCUCAUCAACCACUUUGAGGAGAACAGCCAGUCGGAAAUCAAGAGGGAGGGCUCGCCACUGAAGCAGCUUAGCAAGUCCCCCCUCUGCAGCCGGCUCACCGGUGCUACCAGACAGUCUGAGCCCAAACAACGGACAACAACUUAGGCUCUGUCCCAGGAACGCCACGGAUGCUCACAAACCAGCGAAUAACGGGGUGCGCCAGAUGGACCAGAGACAGGGACAGGGAGAGUGGAUCCCCCCUGAGGACCGACACUGCCCUGGUGAAUGGGGACAUGGGGUACAGGAGCACAGAGCAGGUGGGGAUAACUCCCCUACAAACACAGAGACAGGAGACCCUUCCCGAGACAGAGACCCCCCCGAGACAGAGACCAUACCGAGAAAGAGACCCUUCCCGAGACAGAGACCCACUACCGAGACCAUACCGAGCCAGAGACCCAUACCGAGCAGACCCAUACCGGACGAGACCCAUACCGAGAC